CGAAAGCCUGACGGAGCAAGACCGCGUGAGGGAUGAAAGCCUAAUGGUUGUAAACCUCUUUUAUUGGGGAAGAUAAUGACGGUACCCAAUGAAUAAGCAUCGGCUAACUCCGUGCCAGCAGCCGCGGUAAUACGGAGGAUGCAAGCGUUAUCCGGAAUGAUUGGGCGUAAAGCGUCCGCAGGUGGCUGUGUAAGUCUGCUGUUAAAGAGUCUAGCUCAACUAGAUAAGAGCAGUGGAAACUACACAGCUAGAGUACGUUCGGGGCAGAGGGAAUUCCUGGUGUAGCGGUGAAAUGCGUAGAGAUCAGGAAGAACACCGGUGGCGAAGGCGCUCUGCUAGGCCGUAACUGACACUGAGGGACGAAAGCUAGGGGAGCG
rnacentral:rRNA from 1 species